AAUGAACGUUGGCGGCGUGGAUUAGGCAUGCAAGUCGAACGCCCCGCAAGGGGAGUGGCGCAAGGGUGAGUAAGGCGACGGUAACCAACCCCGUGAUUGGGUCUAGCCGAGGGAAACCUCGGGGAAUCCCCAGCGAUGUGGCCCGAAGGCAUCUUCGGGCCACCAAAGCUCCGGCGUCGCGGGACGGGCCGUCGUGGUAUUAGCUAGUUGGUGGGGUAACGGCCCACCAAGGCGGCGAUGCCUACCGGGUGUGCGAGCACGACCCGGCACACUGGGACUGAGACACUGCCCAGACUCCUACGGGAGGCUGCAGUCGAGAAUCUUCGGCAAUGGGCGCAAGCCUGACCGAGCGACGCCGCGUGGAGGACGAAGGCCUUCGGGUUGUAAACUCCUGUCGAGGGGAAGAAAGCCGCCGCGAGGCGGUUGAUCGAUCCCUGGAGGAAGGACGGGCUAAGUUCGUGCCAGCCGCCGCAGUAACAC
rnacentral:rRNA from 1 species